rnacentral:rRNA from 1 species
GAACGCUGGCGGCGUGCUUAACACAUGCAAGUCGAACGCGAAAGGGACUUCGGUCCUGAGUAAAGUGGCGCACGGGUGAGUAACGCGUGGAUAAUCUGCCCUUAUGAUCGGGAUAACAGUUGGAAACGGCUGCUAAUACCGGAUACGCUCAAAAUGAACUUUUUGAGGAAAGAUGGCCUCUGCUUGCAUGCUAUCACGUAAGGAUGAGUCCGCGUCCCAUUAGCUUGUUGGCGGGGUAACGGCCCACCAAGGCAACGAUGGGUAGCCGAUUUGAGAGGAUGAUCGGCCACACUGGAACUGAAACACGGUCCAGACUCCUACGGGAGGCAGCAGUGGGGAAUAUUGCGCAAUGGGCGAAAGCCUGACGCAGCGACGCCGCGUGAGGGAUGAAAGGUUUUCGGAUCGUAAACCUCUGUCAGAAGGGAAGAAACUACGUUGUGCUAAUCAGCAGCGUACUGACGGUACCUUCAAAGGAAGCACCGGCUAACUCCGUGCCAGCAGCAGC